rnacentral:rRNA from 1 species
CUACGGGUUGCUGCAGUGGGGAAUAUUGGACAAUGGGGGAAACCCUGAUCCAGCAAUGCCGCGUGUGUGAAGAAGACCUGCGGGUUGUAAAGCACUUUCGGUUGGGAGGACUGCUUCUAGCACUAAUAUUGUUGGAAGUUGACGUUACCUUCAGAAGAAGCACCGGCUAACUCCGUGCCAGCAGCCGCGGUAAUACGGAGGGUGCAAGCAUUAAUCUGGAAUUACUGGGCGUAAAGCGCGCGUAGGCGGCUAGAUCAGUCGGGUGUGAAAGCCCCGGGCUUAACCUGGGAACUGCAUCCGAUACUGUAUAGCUUGAGGACAGGAGAGGAGAGUGGAAUUCCACAUGUAGCGGUGAAAUGCGUAGAUAUGUGGAGGAACACCAAUGGCGAAGGCAGCUCUCUGGCCUGAUACUGACGCUGAGGUGCGAAAGCGUGGGGAGCAAACAGGAUUAGAUACCCGUGUAGUC